rnacentral:rRNA from 1 species
AUACGUAGGUGGCAAGCGUUGUCCGGAUUUAUUGGGCGUAAAGCGAGCGCAGGCGGUUUCUUAAGUCUGAUGUGAAAGCCCCCGGCUUAACCGGGGAGGGUCAUUGGAAACUGGGAGACUUGAGUGCAGAAGAGGAGAGUGGAAUUCCAUGUGUAGCGGUGAAAUGCGUAGAUAUAUGGAGGAAAACCAGUGGCGAAGGCGACUCUCGGGUCUGUAACUGACGCUGAGGCGCGAAAGCGUGGGGAGCAAACAGGAUUAGAUACCCUGGUAGUCCACGCCGUAAACGAUGAGUGCUAAGUGUUGGAGGGUUUCCGCCCUUCAGUGCUGCAGCUAACGCAUUAAGCACUCCGCCUGGGGAGUACGGCCGCAAGGCUGAAACUCAAAGGAAUUGACGGGG